rnacentral:rRNA from 1 species
AGCUCCAAUAGCGUAUAUUAAAGUUGUUGCAGUUAAAAAGCUCGUAGUUGGAUUUCGGGUAGACUGACGCGGUCCUCCGCAAGGCAGGCACUGCGCAGUCGACCCUCUGCCCGACGGCCGCGGUUUGCUCUUCGCUGUAGUGGACCGGGGACCUCGGGACUUUUACUGUGAGAAAAUUAGAGUGUUCAAAGCAGGCAUCCGCUUGAAUACAUUAGCAUGGAAUAAUGGAAGAGGACUUGGGUCCUGUUUUGUUGGUUUCCCGGACCGAAGUAAUGAUCAAUAGGGACAGUCGGGGGCAUUUGUAUUCAAUUGUCAGAGGUGAAAUUCUCGGAUUUAUGGAAGACUAACAAGGGCGAAAGCAUUUGCCAAGGAUGUUUUCAUUAAUCAAGAACGAAAGUAG